AUACGGAGGAUCCGAGCGUUAUCCGGAUUUAUUGGGUUUAAAGGGUGCGCGGGCGGGAGAUUAAGUCGGCGGUGAAAUUUUGCAGCUCAACUGUAAAAGUGCCUUCGAAACUGGUUUCCUUGAGUGUAGAUGAAGUAGGCGGAAUUUGUGGUGUAGCGGUGAAAUGCAUAGAUAUCACGAGGAACUCCGAUUGCGCAGGCAGCUUACUAAACUACUACUGACGCUCAGGCACGAAGGCGUGGGGAUCAAACAGGAUUAGAUACCCUGGUAGUCCACGCAGUAAACGAUGAUUACUAGCUGUUUGCGAUACAAUGUAAGCGGCUGAGCGAAAGCGUUAAGUAAUCCACCUGGGGAGUACGUUCGCAAGAAUGAAACUCAAAUGAAUUGACGGGG
rnacentral:rRNA from 1 species